UCCUGCCCUGGGCCCGCACCUGUUGUUGCAGAGUCCCGUGAUGGUGCGAUACUUGUCCUGCUCAGGGCACCUCACCCCCACGUCCUGAUAGGCGCAGCCGCUCGACUUGGACAUCAGAUUCAGCUGAGCGGGUGUCAGCACAUCUGCAAGAGUGACCCCGGACCUUAGACCCGAGCCCUCUCCCACCUCGUUUCCUGUGCUAGACAACCUGGGGCUGAGGAGCCCAAAGAGGGCCUUGUCCACCAGCUGCUUGGCCUCCUCCAUGCAGGUCAGGAUCACGGAAUCCUCCACGCCCCCCAGCAUAGCUGCCCAGAGCACAAACCACAAGUACCUGGAGUGGCACCAUUGGAGGUCUGAGGUAUGGCCAGAGGGGCCAGGAGGCCUGCCAAGGCCAAGAAUAGCUUCAUUUCUGCAAAAGACCCCAGCCCAGGAAGUGCCCAGAGCAUCCAGGCUCUGUGUGUGUUAGAUGCUCAUAGGCCUCGGAGAGCCUGGAAGACCAGAAGAAGAUGACUCCCUGGAAGGAGGAUCCAAACAAGCAUUGUCCCAGCAGUCAUACCUCAGUUCCCUGUCCCAGGGAAGGUCUUUGGAGGGCACCCCUGGAACUGCCACAUCUCCAGACUACAGUCAUGAUGGGAGAGAGCACCCCAUCCAAUGCACACAUCUCUCUGCUCUCCCUUCUCCCUGAUGGACUUUCCCAAAUAUCCCAGCCCUUCGGGUUUAGCCCCUCCCCCCCUCAAAACCAGAAGUACUUUCCCUUCUACUCUUCCUCAAGAGAACAAUAGAAGCUUUG